GCUGAGGCACGAAAGCGUGGGGAGCAAACAGGAUUAGAUACCCUGGUAGUCCACGCCGUAAACGAUGAGUACUAAGUGUCGGGAUUACUCGGUACUGAAGUUAACACAUUAAGUACUCCGCCUGAGUAGUACGUACGCAAGUAUGAAACUUAAAGGAAUUGACGGGACUCCGCACAAGCGGUGGAUCAUGUUGUUUAAUUCGAAGAUACACGAAAAACCCUACCAGGUCUUGACAUACUCUGCAAAGCUAUAGCAAUAUAGUGGAGGUUAUCAGGGAUACAGGUGGUGCAUGGUUGUCGUCAGCUCGUGUCGUGAGAUGUUAGGUUAAGUCCUAAAACAAGCGCAACCCUUGUCAUUAGUUGCCAGCAUGUCAUGAUGGGCACUUUAAUGAGACUGCCAAUGAAAAAUUGGAGGAAGGUGAGGAUCACGUCAAAUCAUCAUGCCCCUUAUGAUCUGGGCUACAAACGUGAUACAAUGGCUGUUACAAAGGUAGACUUUAAAGAAGAAA
rnacentral:rRNA from 1 species